rnacentral:rRNA from 1 species
GACAGAGGUGCCGAGCGUUAGGCGGAAUCACUGGGCUUAAAGCGUGUGUAGGCGGGCGGGCAAGUACCUUGUGAAAUCCCACGGCUCAACCGUGGAACGGCUGGGUAUACUGCCUGUCUUGAGCCAACUAGGGGCGAGCGGAACAGACGGUGGAGCGGUGAAAUGCGUAGAUAUCAGGAGGAACACCGGUGGCGAAGGCGGGUCUCUGGGCCGAUACUGACGCUGAGGAGCGAAAGCGUGGGGAGCGAACAGG